rnacentral:lncRNA from 1 species
UCUGACUUGUCUUUGCGCCGACGACGAUGACCGCGAGUCAUGCAGCACAUGCAGCUUUCGUCUUCACAACCAUUUGACAACGUAGUCCGUGAACGGGUGUCCCGUAGCGACUUCGUCGUGACUGCCUCAGAGAACGUCUAGUACUGCCUUUGCUUGAUUGACGGACGUCGAGGGCGAAACAGAGCGAAGGUGCUGCAAUGCGCUGCCUUGCCACAACAAGUGAUGCAAGCCAGAAAGACCAUUACGUGAAGCAGUGAUGGGCGAACAUAUACGUGGAGAACGAACGAAGUGAUUGUGCGAGCAGGCCAAGGCAGAAAGUUGCAAGGAGACUAUUAGUGCCACGAAACCAGCCACCGCCGCCUGUAGCAUCAUCCGGUGCCCGUGCUGCAAGUUCAGUCGUAACGCCUGUGGAGGGGGAUCCGACCCCAUGGAGAAAGUAGGGGCUGACGAGCUGCGUUUAAGUAUGCUUUGCUGGUGCUUUUAGCUAUUUCAAAAGACACAAGAAGUGGCCCGACAUCACUUGGCCAUAGGCUGCUCUUCCUCAUCUCAAUGAGCAUAGCUCUUGGAACACUGGCUCCGCCAAAAAACUAGCCAUAAAGUUCAAGCUCGCAGAUGUUGAACAGCUGAUGGCGGAAGGAGAAUGCCAAUAUCUUCCUUGUACAUUUCAAAACAAUUCUUGAACAUGUAAUUCCCGUCCAGAAGUGUUGCGUCCUUUAGUCAUCCUACCGUGUUGCUCCUGAAAUGCCAAUAAAAAGUACAAUGUGAAA